ACCUAACUGGAAAUGCUUAAAUGAAUUAGCGUUACAAGUGGGCUCUGACCGGUAAGCGGUCAUGGCGAAAUGGGAUGAACCAUACGUCUGAAUAAGGUGCCGAAAUGUACUAUCACUGAUACCAUAAAGGGAGUCCAUGUAUUUAGACAGCAGGUCGGUGCCCCUAAAAGCAGGUAUCCGCUAAAGAGUGUGUUAAAACUCACCUGCCGAAUACUAGGGCCCCGAAAAUGAAUGGCGCAUAUAGUACUACCGAUCUCAGACAUCAGUUCUAUUGAACUGAGAGUAGGGGGAUGUGGACAUUUUUGUGAAGGUGCAAUGUGAGUUGGACUGGAAGAAUGUCUAUUACAGAUCCUAAUUGAAGUAGCGAUUAUCCAGGCUUGUAUCCUGGGGGCUGAUGAGGAGUAGGGUUUCUGGACAACUUAAACAGAUCCAGAGUUAGUCGAUCCUAAUCUCAAUAAUGGGAGAAAGGGAGUACAGUUGAUAUUCUGUAACUGACAACAGUUCGCGGCAACGCAUACUAUUUUUCUCCGCCAAUCUUAUACCGUUGGUAGGGAUCUCUUUCCUACAUGACAGUACUAAUACCCAGGGAAACUGGUCAUCAGGCGAACUGCGGCGUUCUGCUGGCAAAACAUAGCUUCGGUUAUGUCAAUGGCUAUUGGAUUGGUCCAUGAAGCGAAAAAUAGUUUACUGUGUCACUCGUACCGAUAACCGCAUCAGGUCUUCUAGGUAAGUAGCCUAUGGCCAUUGAGGCAUGAUAGUUCAGGGAAUUCGGCCAAUUAGAGCUGUAACUUCGGGAUAAAGCUUGGCUCUGAUGAAAAUCAGAACCGAUUGUUACGCGGAGAGCCCAACUGUUUAAUAAAAACGUAGUGUCGCGCUGUGGUAGUAUAGCCAGUGAACGCGACAUGAAUCCUGCUCAGUGCUGUGUCUGUUAAUAUGUUCAAGCCACGAAGCACGG
rnacentral:ncRNA from 1 species